UUUGCGAUUUUCAGAAAUCGUUAACGUUGCGUUAUGCUAAUGAGCCUGAGGCUUAGUCACAAUCCCGGAUCCGGGAUGGGGAGUUUCAAGAGGUUAACUAACUAGCCUCUCAAAGCACUUUAUGAUGACAAGUGAGUGCUACGUGACGAUAGUAAUUUAGUUCAGUUACCUUCAUUUUCUUGGAUACAGGGACAAUGGUGGACAUCUUCAAGCAAGUGGGGACAACAGACUGGGAUAUGGAGAGAGUAAAUAUGUCCGUUAACACUCCAGCCAGCUGGCCUGCACAUGCUCUGAGGACGUGGCUUGGAAUGACAUCUGGGCUGGCAGCCUUGCAAAGGUUAACAUGCUUAUAUUACUUACUCACGUUGGACACAGAGGACACGCGAACACAGUCCUUGUGAGUGUUGGUGGCCUGCGUUAGCUUCUCAAUGUUUUCCUUGAAGUGGGCGAAGAUGUUUAGCUUGUCCGGGAGAGAGGCGUUGGUGAAUGCGACCUGUGAUUAUCUGGAGUCCUAGUCCCGUACGUCUUGUGUCCGAGCCGUUGAAUUGAGACUCCACUUUGUACCUGUAGUAUCAUUUUUGUCUCUGAUUGCUUUACGGAGGUCAUGUCCAUGUUCCCAGUCCUCUUGUCAUGGUUAAAUGUGGUGGUUCGCGCUUUCACUUUUGCUCGAAUGCGCCCAUCUAUCUAUGGAUUUUGGUUUGGAUAAGCCAUAAUCGUUGCAGUCGGAACAACAUCCUCUAAGCACUUCCUUAUUCCCCGAGUCAGUGUACAAGUCAAUACUAUUCUCAGAGGCGACCCUAAACAUUUUCCAGUCUGCGUGAUCAAAACAAUCUUGAAGAACAGAUUCCGAUUGGACAGACCAACGUUGAACAGUCCGUACCACGGUAGCUUCCUGUUUAAGUUUCUGGCUAUAGGUAGGGAGGAGAAGAAUGGAGGUGUGAUCUGAUGCCGUCCUGGAAGGGAAAGUAGCAAUGAUCCAGGGUCUCGGGAUGUAAAGGGGUCAACAUCUGAAGGAGGUCUUCCAGAUCGUAAGAACAAAAAAAUCUUCUGGAACAGUGUUGAAGAAUGCCUUCUAUAAUGGAUGUCUAAAGCACAUUCCGUCAUAGACGACUUGGUCAGGAAGGAGGGAAAGGUGGAGGAAGAGGAUGCUGAGUUUGAAUCAAGCAGCGCGUCAUGCAAAUUGGUGAAGACGAAUAUUCUAAAUGGACAACAGUAGUAUUGAAAACUGGAACAAAGGAAAUUUUCUGAAAUUGGAGUGGAGGAUAAGUUUAUGAAUGAUAAUGAAUCGCUUCUUUUUGGGAUGUGUUUGAGUAAGGAUGCAUAUGUGGGAGACCUGUUUUGAGGUGUGGAAAAUGGUGAAGUAUGCGCUGUGAAAAGUGGAGCCUGUCAGUUACCAGGACUGCAUAUUUUGAUAAUGUAUUUCUGAAGAACAGAGGAAGAUUGCAGUGAGUUUUGAACUUUGGAGUAGAGCACCUGUCAAAGACGUCAUCUCAGGGGUGACGAUGGAUGUUCAGGUUCAAUACCUGAAGAGAAUCCCUGAUGUGGUUGGUGCCUGGCGUCUGAACUGCUGGGUGAAUUGAGAAAUAAAGUCGGUCCUGUCUUUUGAUAAAGAGCAAAUACACAACCAAGCUUCACAAACGUAGGGAAGCGCUUUCGUCCCGUAACCAUUGCAGUGUAAGAAUUGUAAAGGAUUUGGCCAUGUUUCAAGUGUGUGCAGGCGGACAGAGUGUACUGAAGAAUGGUGUAUAUAAGGACGACUGUGUUGCAAUUUGCGGUGGGGAUCAUAAUCCCGAGUUCCUGGGGUGCCCUUUUAAGAGUGACAGAGAUUGAGGUGGCAAAAGUUAGUGGUCAAUCGAAUCUUCUAUGCGAAUGCUAUUAAAAUAAUUGAGAAAACAAGUGAUGCUAGUGAAGAUAUGGUGCGGCUUGCUGCCAGUCAAAAGAUUCCCUGUGUGUUAAAAAGUUGGAUUUUGUCGUGUUCAUUGCCACAGUUCUAGACUGUACUGCACUAGUCUCUAAGAAUUCUAAGAAACUGGACAUUAUUGUGGCUGAGGCAGAAAUGUUUUUGGGACUUAUGGAUUUUACAUCUGAAGACUUGCAAGUGCUUUCUUGUGCCGGAAGACCCACCCUCCAAGGUUCCCCCUGAGCCUGUGUAGGGAGCAGAUCUGUUUUUUUUAACAGAAAAGUUGUUUAAUUUAUUUAUAAAUGUUGGUAGUUUGUUCUGAUUUUGGGAAUCUUGAUUCCAUCCCGCACAGUAGGUGGCAUGAUGCAUAUUAAAUUGUGCGAUCGCCAAUAUACCAUAGAAGAAGAUGGCGCAGUCAAGCUAGCAUCCUCUACAACCACAAGUCAAUUGACCCUCCCCUAAGCCCCGCCCCCUUGGUUAUUCUUGUUGAUCUUGGACAACAUUUUCCUGGCAAGACCAUUUCCCCAUACGAACCACUGGCAAAAUCGACCAUAGUCUCUGUAGGUAUGUACGGCAGGACCAAAUCGGAAAGAUGGUGAUUAACAUCCGAUUUGGAUCAAACAUUCUUUCUACCAAUGAGUUAGUCAUUAGUAUUUCAAAGAAAUGGUCAAAAGCUCAUGAAACAUGGGACCAACACUUGUUGUGUUUUCUAUAUUUUUUUUCAGUAUCGUAAUGUUAAAAUGUAUCACAUUACACAUUUAGUAAUGAUAGAAUGCAUUUUAAACUUCACGCAUAGUAACAAUAAAAUAAUUAUAUUGAGAUAAGUGGGGCGGGGGGGAAAUCUGAGCAAAUUAGCAUUUUCAUGAUAAAGUAUCUAAACUUGCGCUACAAAUGCAAAACAAUUAGCAUUUGAAACAGUGGCCAAGUAAACAAAACCAAAGCAUGAGUUGCUGUCAUACCUGGACCACAGACUCCCUACAGGGUAAGAACCAAUAUGUAAUUGUGCAAUUUGGGUGAACUAAAAUUAACAAUUUGGGUGCAAUCAAUUAGCGUAAUUUGUCAGAGAUAACAACAUGUUUCUAACUAUAGAAAAAUGUUCAGAACAAGAGAUGGUGAGUGUUGUGGCUUGCUGAAAUGACAUGGUGCAACACUUUUUUUAAACAAAUGGCUUCCAUGUGUUUUUAAACGUAAGCCUGUCCGAGGUGUCGGACUCGAAUGGUUGCGAUCCAUUGGAGUGCUGCGAUUGAUUGUCCCACAUUCUGGGGCGGAGCUUAGUGAAGGAUCAAUUCUGUCUCUGUUUUCCAUCCCCUGCCUGACUUCAGCUUAUAAUAGAGCGAGACUCCUACACUGUGUGCCAUUUCCUGCUGACAAAAAACGUCUCGUGAUUUUGGCAGCGCUGCUGAUAAUAGCUGUGCACAGUAAUCCUUUAUCUGAUUCGCUUUAGUUUGUCUGAAAAAUGUUCUCUGACAUCAACCUUUAACCUCUUCUCAGGCCAUAACAUUUGGUUUAUUUGCUUUCUACUUCCUUUCCUCUACAAUUCCCCAUGUUAUGUCUGUAUGCCUCUGUCUGCGCCUCACAGUGCCUUAGUGUGCUAGCCUAGGAACUGUCACUGUUACCUGCCUGGAGCCCUUUCUACACUGGAAAGACUGGAUUUUUAACCACUCAAUGUUUUGGUUUAUCUACCAAUAUAAUGGCACCGGAGGGGAUGGCUGCUGUUUUUACAGACUCCUAAGCAACUGUGCUAAUUUGUUUCAUUUUUUGCAUUGUUUGUAACUCAUUCUGUACAUAAUGCUGCUGCUACCGUCUCUUAUGACCGAAAGAGCUUCUGGACAUCAGAACAGCGAUUACUCACCUUGAACUGGAUAUAGAUAUUUUUUUUUUUUUAAUGAGUCCGACGUGAAGGAUAUACUGCUUGUCGAGACAAGGCCCAACUCUGUCUUCAGCGUGAAGAAAAGACUGGGUGCCUUGUAAGAAUCGCAGAGGAGAAGGUAAACUGGACGAUCUAUGAUUGAGACUAUCCUACCAAAGGGACAUUAAAAACUGUAAUAUCUUAUGUUUCACUGAGACGUGGCUGAACGCCGACACCGAUCAUAUAGAGCUGGCUGGCUUCUCCAUGCAUCGGCAGGACAGAGCAGCUAUGUCUGGUAAGAAGGGUGGGGUUGUGUCAAUUUGUCAAUAACUGCUGGUGCCUGGUGUCUAAUAUUAAAGAAGUCUCAAGAUAAUGCACGCCUGAGGUAUUCUACCUCAUAAGCUGUAGACCACACUAUCUACCAAGAUCUCUCAUCUAUAUUAUUUGUAGCUGUCUAUUUACCACCACAAACAGAUGCUUGCACUAGGACCGCACUCAACGAGCUCUAUAAGGCCAUAAGCAAACAUGAUAAUGCUCCUCUUGAAGCGGCCCUCUACUGGCCAGGGACUUUAAUGCAGGCAAACUUAAAUCCGUUUUACAUAAUUUCUACCAGCAUGUCACGUGUGUGGAAAAAAAACUCUAGACCACCUUUACUCCACACACAGAGAUGCAUACAAAGCUCCCUCGCCCUCCAUUUGGCAAAUCUGACCAUAAUUCUAUCCUCCUGAUUCCUGCUUGCAAGCAAAAACUAAAGCAGGAAGUAUCAGUAUAUAAUAUGUUCCGGGGUUCAUCCAAUGGCAUUGAGGAGUAUACCAACUCAGUCACCAACUUCAUCAAUAAGUGCAUCGAUGACGUCGUCCCCAAGUUGACUGAAUGUAUUUUUCCCAACCAGAAGCCAUGGGUUACAGGCAACAUCCUCACUGAGCUAAAGGGUAGAGCUGCCGCUUUCAAGGAGCGGGACACUAAUCCGGAUGUUUAUAAGAAAUCACGCUAUGCCCUCAAAUGAACCAUCACAGGCAAAGCCAGGACUAAGAUUGAAUCCUACUACACCGGCGUUGAUACUCGUUGGAUGUGGCAGGGCUUGGAAAAUACCUUUUUUAAACAUGUCAACAUUCGCAAAGUGGAUUACCAGGGUGUGUACUCAAAGUAUGCGCAGACCAACUGGCAAAUGUCUUCACUGACAUUUUCAACCUCUCCCUGACCGAGUCUGUAAUACCUACCUGUUUCAAGCAGACUACCAUAGUCCCUGUGCCCAAGAACGUGAAGGAUCAAGUUAUCAAGGCUUGGAAAUGGACCGAAAUGGCUCACAUCAACACCAUCAUGCCGGAAACACUAAACCCACUCAAAUUCACAUACCGCCCCAACAGAUCCACAGAUGACUCCAAUCUCUAAUGCACUCCACACUGCCCAUUCACACCUGGACAAAAGGAACACCUAUAUGAUAAUGCUGUUCAUUGACUACAGCUCAGUGUUCAACACCAUAGUGCCCUUAAAGCUCAUCACUAAGUUAAGGACCCUGUGACUAAACAACUCCAUCUGGAACUGGAUCCUGAAUUUCCUGACGGGCUGCCCCCAGGUGGUAAGGGCAGGCAACAACCCAUCUGCCACGCUGAUCCUCAACACUGUGGCCCCUCGGGUGCUUGCUUAGUCCCCUCCUGUACUGCCUGUUCACCCAUGACUGCGUGGCCAAGCAUGACUCUAACACCAUCAUCUCCAACACCAAGUUAGCUGCUGACAACAGUGGUAGGCCUGACCACCGACAACAAUGAGACGGCCUACAGGGAGGUGGUCCCUCAAUGUGAGCAAGACAAAGGAGUUGAUCGUGUACUAUAGAAAAAGGAGGGCUGAACAUACCCCCAUUGACGUAGCUGUAGUGAAGCGGGUCGAGAGUUUCAAGUUCCUUGACGUCCACAUCACCAUCAUCAUCAUGGUCCAAACACACGAAGAACGUUGUGAAGAGGGCACGACAACACGUUUUCCCCCUCAGGAGACUGAAAAUAUUUGGUAUGGGUCCCCAGAUACUACUAGUUCUAAAGCUGCACCAUCAAGAGCAUCCUGACUGGUUACAUCAUCACCAAGUAUGGCAUCUGCUCGACCUCUGACCAUAAGGUACUACAGAGGGUGGUGCAGAUGGCCCAGUACAUCACUAGGGACUAGCUCCUUGACAUCCAGGAUCUAUAUACUAUGCAGUGUUGGAGAAAGGCCCAAAAAAUUGUCACUCGAGUCACCCACGUCAUAGACUGUUCUCUCUGCUACUGCACGGCAAGCGGUACCAUAGCGCCAAGUCUAGGAGCAAUAGGCUUCUUAACAGCUUCUACCCCCAAGCCAUAAGACUGCUGAACAAUUAAUCAGUUGGCCACCCAGACUAUUUACCGCGACUAACCUGUACCCCCACACAUUGACUCGGUACUGGUAUUCCCUGUAUAGCUUCGUUAUUGUUAUGUAAUUUUCUUCUUACAUUUUUGGUUUGUUUUUGUUUAUUCAGUAACUCUUUCUUGAGCUGCAUUGUUGGUUAAGGGCUUGUAAGUAAGCAUUUCACGGUAAGGUCUAGAGCAGGUAGCCUAGUGUUUUGGGCAUUGGGCCAGUAACCAAAAUGUUGUUGGCUUCGGGAUUUGAUCCAGCGAGAUAAAAAUCUGUCCUUCUGCCCCUGAGCAAGGCAGUUAACCCAAAUGUUCCCCGAGUGCCGAAGAUAUGGAUGUCGAUUAUAGCAGGCCCCUGCACCUCUGAUUCAGAGGGGUUGGAUGAAACGCAGAAGACUCAUUCAGUUGUACAACUGACUAGGUAUUCCCUUUGCCUGCUGUUUUCACAUGUGACAAAUAAAAUGUGAUUUGAUUAUAA